GUAAAUAUCUAAAUUAUCUGUGGCAACAACUUGGUGGGGUCAACUCGAAUGUUUUUGUCGGCUGUUCUUGAAGACUUCUGGGUCUCUACAACCAUAUUCUUUGGCUGGUGCCAGUGUUUAAGCACUCUGAAACUGCAUAGCAGCAUGUUUGAAGGUGGCCUGUCAAAUUUGGGAAGCUGACGGUGUGACUGAGCUAGUCACAGGGGUCUUCACAGAAAAGGCAGUCGGGGUCCUGGUCAACUGGAGAUUCCAUCUGAAUGUGAAUGGAUUUAAAAGGUGACUGGAACACUUCUUCCUGACCUCAGUAAUCAGAGAUGUGAUGGAUGUCUGGGAAGAUUUUCUCAAGGGCUAGAAGAGUGAAGUCAUUAAGACUAGAGCUCCAGGCUUCUUCAUCCAACUCCAAGGGUUCCCAGCAACAUGUGAAGUCCUCUAUCUGUCACUAAGAAGCCAU